rnacentral:other from 1 species
UUUUUCCUGCUAUGUGCGUGAUGAUAUAAUGUAUUCGAGCUACAAUUAUUAAAAGGAGUCUUAAAUUCUAUGCUGGUUUGCAGGCCUCCUAUCCCCCUCCUCUUAAUGAGGCUUUGCCGGACGAGGGAACGAUAGAUGUUGGAAGCAAUAAAGGCAUUAUGCGGACACCACCUUGUAAACACAAGGUUCAAAUGGUUGUAUCACACGGCAUGGCGGGUUUUUU